rnacentral:misc_RNA from 1 species
AAGUCGUAACAAGGUUUCCGUAGGUGAACCUGCGGAAGGAUCAUUAAUCUAUGCCGUCCUGGAAACAGGCCACGGCGUCGGGUCUCGCUUUGAAAAAAAGUGUAGGCUGUCUGAAAACCCUUGAAUAUAAAACUUUGUUGCUUUGGUGGGCCGCCUCUUUUGGCGUUGGCCACGGCUGACAGUGCCUACCAGAGGCCAAAAACUCUAUUGUCUUUGACGUCUGAGUACUAUAUAAUAGUUAAAACUUUCAACAACGGAUCUCUUGGUUCUG